AACGAACGCUGGCGGCAUGCCUAACACAUGCAAGUCGAACGAGACCUUCGGGCCUAGUGGCGCACGGGUGCGUGACGCGUGGGAACCUGCCCUUAGGUUCGGAAUAACUCCCCGAAAGGGGUGCUAAUACCGGAUAAUGUCUUCGGACCAAAGAUUUAUCGCCUUUGGAUGGGCCCGCGUUGGAUUAGCUAGUUGGUAGGGUAAAAGCCUACCAAGGCGACGAUCCAUAGCUGGUCUGAGAGGAUGAUCAGCCACACUGGGACUGAGACACGGCCCAGACUCCUACGGGAGGCAGCAGUGGGGAAUAUUGGACAAUGGGCGAAAGCCUGAUCCAGCAAUGCCGCGUGAGUGAUGAAGGCCUUAGGGUUGUAAAGCUCUUUUACCCGGGAUGAUAAUGACAGUACCGGGAGAAUAAGCUCCGGCUAACUCCGUG
rnacentral:rRNA from 1 species